GCGACAUACGGUCCAUGAGACUGGGUGAGACGGAGGGUGGAAGCGUGAUACUGAAUUAUUGGGCGCAAAGCGUGUGCAGGCUGUUUAUUACGUCGGAUGUGAAAUGCCGAGGCUCAACCUAGGAGGUGCAUUUGAAACUAAGAAACUAGAGUAUAGUAGAGGGAAGUAGAAUUCCAAGUGGAGCGGUGAAAUGCGUAGAUAUUUGGAGGAACACCAGUGGCGAAGGCGACCUUCUGGUCGAUAACUGACGCUCAAGCACGAAAGCGUGGGGAGCAAACAGGAUUAGAUACCCGAGUAGUC
rnacentral:rRNA from 1 species